rnacentral:misc_RNA from 1 species
UCACUGAUCUUCUCUACAGAAUUUCUUUCCAAAUCCUCUUGAAGUAGAAAUAUUUUCAUUUAUAUUUCAUUUUAUUUUUGGGGUGUCUGUCACAAAUAGAUGUAAUCUUCUACUGUGUUUAUUACUUCACAGCAUUGCUGAAUUUCACAUUCAAUUUCGUUUUUGGUUAACUUUCUUCUUAUUUUUAUAGAAACUGCAUGCAUUCACUAAUUUUCUGCAACAUAUCCAACUUAUCUUAGUUCAUUAACUCUGACUAUAGUCCAAGGUUAAUAAGGCAUUUCUAUCAAAAUAACAUAAUAUAUCUCCUUUAUGUUUUG